GGAGAGAUGGCCGAGUGGUUGAAGGCGCUGGUCUUGAAAACCAGUGAUGUCGCAAGGCACCGGGGGUUCGAAUCCCUCUCUCUCCGCCA
rnacentral:tRNA from 2 species